UACGGGGGGGGCAAGCGUUGUUCGGAAUUACUGGGCGUAAAGGGCUCGUAGGCGGCCAACUAAGUCGGAUGUGAAAUCCCCAGGCUUAACCUGGGAACUGCAUCCGAUACUGGAUGGCUUGAAUUCGGGAGAGGGAUGCAGAAUUCCAGGUGUAGCGGUGAAAUGCGUAGAUAUCAAGAGGAACACCUGAGGUGAAGACGGGUUGCUGGGCCAACACUGACGCUGAUGCGCGAAAGCCAGGGGAGCAAACGGG
rnacentral:rRNA from 1 species